rnacentral:lncRNA from 1 species
GGAUGGUUUUGGUUUCAUGGAGGGAGAAGAGGCACGAUUUUCUAAGGUAAAAAGGUAGAAGAGACCAUUUUAUUGGAGAGUGAAGCACAUGGGACAAAAAGAGAACAUAAUGAAUUGUUUAUUGAAGGAAGAAAGUCAAACAUGGAGUUGGUGUUGCAACCUCACGGCCAAGAGGUUCUCCUUGGCUAUUUGCAUUUUAAAAUUCAUUUGGUUGUUGAAUUGGGUCAUGUCAAUGUGUAGGGAAAAAGCAUGUUUG